UUAAGCGACUAAGCGUACACGGUGGAUGCCCUGGCAGUCAGAGGCGAUGAAGGACGUGCUAAUCUGCGAAAAGCGUCGGUAAGGUGAUAUGAACCGUUAUANCCGGCGAUGUCCGAAUGGGGAAACCCAGUGCAAUUCGUUGCACUAUCGUUAACUGAAUACAUAGGUUAACGAGGCGAACCGGGGGAACUGAAACAUCUAAGUACCCCGAGGAAAAGAAAUCAACCGAGAUUCCCCCAGUAGCGGCGAGCGAACGGGGAGCAGCCCAGAGUCUGAAUCAGCUUGUGUGUUAGUGGAACGGUCUGGAAAGUCCGACGGUACAGGGUGAUAGUCCCGUACACCAAAAUGCACAGGCUGUGAACUCGAAGAGUAGGGCGGGACACGUGGUAUCCUGUCUGAAUAUGGGGGGACCAUCCUCCAAGGCUAAAUACUCCUGACUGACCGAUAGUGAACCAGUACCGUGAGGGAAAGGCGAAAAGAACCCCGGCGAGGGGAGUGAAAAAGAACCUGAAACCGUGUACGUACAAGCAGUGGGAGCACCUUCGGGUGUGACUGCGUACCUUUUGUAUAAUGGGUCAGCGACUUAUAUUCUGUAGCAAGGUUAACCGUAUAGGGGAGCCGCAGGGAAACCGAGUCUUAACUGGGCGUUAAGUUGCAGGGUAUAGACCCGAAACCCGGUGAUCUAGCCAUGGGCAGGUUGAAGGUUGGGUAACACUAACUGGAGGACCGAACCGACUAAUGUUGAAAAAUUAGCGGAUGACUUGUGGCUGGGGGUGAAAGGCCAAUCAAACCGGGAGAUAGCUGGUUCUCCCCGAAAGCUAUUUAGGUAGCGCCUCGUGAACUCAUCUUCGGGGGUAGAGCACUGUUUCGGCUAGGGGGUCAUCCCGACUUACCAACCCGAUGCAAACUACGAAUACCGAAGAAUGUUAUCACGGGAGACACACGGCGGGUGCUAACGUCCGUCGUGAAGAGGGAAACAACCCAGACCGCCAGCUAAGGUCCCAAAGUCAUGGUUAAGUGGGAAACGAUGUGGGAAGGCACAGACAGCCAGGAUGUUGGCUUAGAAGCAGCCAUCAUUUAAAGAAAGCGUAAUAGCUCACUGGUCGAGUCGGCCUGCGCGGAAGAUGUAACGGGGCUAAACCAUGCACCGAAGCUGCGGCAGCGACACUAUGUGUUGUUGGGUAGGGGAGCGUUCUGUAAGCCUGCGAAGGUGNNNNNNNNNNNNNNNNNNNNNNNNNNNNNNNNNNNNNUGCUGGAGGUAUCAGAAGUGCGAAUGCUGACAUAAGUAACGAUAAAGCGGGUGAAAAGCCCGCUCGCCGGAAGACCAAGGGUUCCUGUCCAACGUUAAUCGGGGCAGGGUGAGUCGACCCCUAAGGCGAGGCCGAAAGGCGUAGUCGAUGGGAAACAGGUUAAUAUUCCUGUACUUGGUGUUACUGCGAAGGGGGGACGGAGAAGGCUAUGUUAGCCGGGCGACGGUUGUCCCGGUUUAAGCAUGUAGGCUGGUUAUCCAGGCAAAUCCGGAUAAUCAAGGCUGAGGUGUGAUGACGAGGCACUACGGUGCUGAAGUAACAAAUGCCCUGCUUCCAGGAAAAGCCUCUAAGCAUCAGGUAACAUCAAAUCGUACCCCAAACCGACACAGGUGGUCAGGUAGAGAAUACCAAGGCGCUUGAGAGAACUCGGGUGAAGGAACUAGGCAAAAUGGUGCCGUAACUUCGGGAGAAGGCACGCUGGUGUGUAGGUGAAGUCCCUGCGGAUGGAGCUGAGACCAGUCGAAGAUACCAGCUGGCUGCAACUGUUUAUUAAAAACACAGCACUGUGCAAACACGAAAGUGGACGUAUACGGUGUGACGCCUGCCCGGUGCCGGAAGGUUAAUUGAUGGGGUUAUCCGUAAGGAGAAGCUCUUGAUCGAAGCCCCGGUAAACGGCGGCCGUAACUAUAACGGUCCUAAGGUAGCGAAAUUCCUUGUCGGGUAAGUUCCGACCUGCACGAAUGGCGUAAUGAUGGCCAGGCUGUCUCCACCCGAGACUCAGUGAAAUUGAACUCGCUGUGAAGAUGCAGUGUACCCGCGGCAAGACGGAAAGACCCCGUGAACCUUUACUAUAGCUUGACACUGAACAUUGAGCCUUGAUGUGUAGGAUAGGUGGGAGGCUUUGAAGCGUGGACGCCAGUCUGCGUGGAGCCAACCUUGAAAUACCACCCUUUAAUGUUUGAUGUUCUAACGUUGGCCCCUGACCGGGGUUGCGGACAGUGUCUGGUGGGUAGUUUGACUGGGGCGGUCUCCUCCCAAAGCGUAACGGAGGAGCACGAAGGUUAGCUAAUCCUGGUCGGACAUCAGGAGGUUAGUGCAAUGGCAUAAGCUAGCUUGACUGCGAGCGUGACGGCGCGAGCAGGUGCGAAAGCAGGUCAUAGUGAUCCGGUGGUUCUGAAUGGAAGGGCCAUCGCUCAACGGAUAAAAGGUACUCCGGGGAUAACAGGCUGAUACCGCCCAAGAGUUCAUAUCGACGGCGGUGUUUGGCACCUCGAUGUCGGCUCAUCACAUCCUGGGGCUGAAGUAGGUCCCAAGGGUAUGGCUGUUCGCCAUUUAAAGUGGUACGCGAGCUGGGUUUAGAACGUCGUGAGACAGUUCGGUCCCUAUCUGCCGUGGGCGCUGGAGAAUUGAGGGGGGCUGCUCCUAGUACGAGAGGACCGGAGUGGACGCAUCACUGGUGUUCGGGUUGUCAUGCCAAUGGCACUGCCCGGUAGCUAAAUGCGGAAGAGAUAAGUGCUGAAAGCAUCUAAGCACGAAACUUGCCCCGAGAUGAGUUCUCCCUGAGACUUUAAGUCUCCUGAAGGAACGUUGAAGACGACGACGUUGAUAGGCCGGGUGUGUAAGCGCAGCGAUGCGUUGAGCUAACCGGUACUAAUGAACCGUGAGGCUUAACCUU
rnacentral:rRNA from 1 species